rnacentral:rRNA from 1 species
UACGUAGGGGCCGAGCGUUGUCCGGAGUUAUUGGGCGUAAAGCGCGCGCAGGCGGCCUCGCGCGCCCGACGUGAAAGCCCCCGGCUUAACCGGGGAGGGUCGUUGGGGACGGCGGGGCUUGAGGGCGGGAGAGGGCGGUGGAAUUCCCGGUGUAGUGGUGAAAUGCGUAGAGAUCGGGAGGAACACCUGUGGCGAAGGCGGCCGUCUGGGCCGACCCUGACGCUGAGGCGCGAAAGCUAGGGGAGCAAACGGGG